AGCAGCCGCGGUAAUUCCAGCUCCAAUAGCGUAUAUUAAAGUUGUUGCAGUUAAAAAAGCUCGUAGUUGAAUUUCGGGAUCAGUUUGUUGGUCGUGCUUCGGUACGUACUGUCAUUACUGGUUUCUCCCUUCUGAAGAACCUUGAUGUCAUUAAUUUGGUGUCUUGGGGAAUCAGGACUGUUACUUUGAAAAAAUUAGAGUGUUUAAAGCAGGCAUACGCUUGAACACAUUAGCAUGGAAUAAUGAAAUAGGACGUUUGAUUCUAUUUUGUUGGUUUCUAGGAUUGGCGUAAUGAUUAAUAGGGAUAGUUGGGGGCAUUAGUAUUCAAUUGUCAGAGGUGAAAUUCUUGGAUUUAUUGAAGACUAACUACUGCGAAAGCAUUUGCCAAGGAUGUUUUCAUUAAUCAAGAACGAAAGUUAGGGGAUCGAAGACGAUCAGAUACCGUCGUAGUCUUAACCAUAAACUAUAGCCGACUAGGGAUCGGAUGAUGUUAAUUUUUAAUGACUCAUUCGGCGCCUUA
rnacentral:rRNA from 1 species